GUUUGGCUAAUUGGCUCUGUCAAUCAAGUGUCACUCAGGGGCUCACGCGGCUCCUGCCCGGGUGAGGGGAGCUGGAAUCCGAGGCUUGGGAAAGCAGAAGUGACCGGAGCUUCCAAGGGGGCUGAGCGAGCUCGGGGACCCCACGAGGUGCGGGGGAAGCGGAGCUGGAGCUGGUCUCGAGCAGCGUUCUGCUGCUUGAUGCCAGGGAGUUUGGUGCCUCAGUUUCCCUACAGGGACACAGGUGGCCAGAGGGACCCCAGCGGAGCACAGCCGGUUGAAAACACAGAAAUUCAGGCCUGGAAAUCCCAUGUUUGUCCAAGCAUUGGGGUUCCAGGCUCAUUCUUUGUCCCAUGCAAGGUCCUGGGGUCACAGCAACAGGCACUUGGAAAUUAGGGACCAUCCAAGAAGGAAAGCCCCUGUUUCUCCUCUGGGUGAGCAAGCAAAGGGUUAAUCCGAGGCAGCCUUUCGGGAGGAGAUGGCAAAGGCUGGCGGAGAUCCCUUUUGUGUCACAGGAAGGAAGAGGUUAAGCCGGAGGUGCCACCUGGGAGGCAGAGCCAGGUCUGAGGAUGCUUUGCCAGCUCCUCCACCGUGUAAACAGCUUUUCCUUCCUGUGCCCAGCUCCUCUCCGUGCUGCACCCAUCACCCCGAGCACCAACCGCACAAAAAGGGGAGGAAAAAAGGAAGAAAGGAAGAAAGGAGGGAUUCUGGAGCCGCCUUUCAGCGCGGGCUCAGGGCUCUGGCAGCACAGCCGGGAGGGGACAGAUGCUGCUGCUCUGUUUGCCCGAAAACAAAGGAGCAGAAGAUUACACUUGGAUUCCCAGCUUGUUUAUGGAGAGAUCAAACCCCAAGCUGCAAUUUCCUUGUCUGGCUUUCAAGUGGCAAAAGCCUCGGGGAGAGGGGAUGCAGCCCCUCACUGCCAGGAGGGCAUGGAGCAAGCCUGGACACCCCAGGAACAACCAACCACCUGCAUGGGGUGAUUUUACACCAAACCACUGAUUGCUGCCCAGUUAUCCCACUGGGAAUCCCACCAGAGAGCCCCACCAGCAGAAUUCCCAGUGAUCGAAGGGCUCUGAACCACCUGCACCACAGCAGCCCCUGGAAAAUCCAGGACAGCCCCUCCAAGGCACACAGUCUCCUCUGGGACACCCCAGGUGCCACCAAGGUCACAGCAGGGACGUGGCACGGCAGGGACAUAGAGGAUUGAAUCUCCCACCUCCCACCUUGGGCUCCUGGCACGGCACAUCCGCCUCCCAGUGCAUCAAAGCAGGGAAAAGAAAUGAAGAUGGAGAGGAUGCAGACACCCGGCCGCCUGAGGGGUUUGGGAGGUGAGAUUUAUGAGGCUCUGUCUUGCAGAAGCUUCCAGGGGAGGGGGAAAAAAAGGAAAGAGAGGAACAAAAACCUCCUCCUUCAGGUGGCUGGAAAUCCGUCUUGCUGCUGAGAGCAAAG
rnacentral:lncRNA from 1 species